CCUACGGGAGGCAGCAGUGGGGAAUAUUGCGCAAUGGGCGAAAGCCUGACGCAGCGACGCCGCGUGAGGGAUGAAGGUCUUCGGAUCGUAAACCUCUGUCAGCAGGGAAGAAAGGUCACUGUGCUAAUCAGCAGUGAAUUGACGGUACCUGCAAAGGAAGCACCGGCUAACUCCGUGCCAGCAGCCGCGGUAAUACGGAGGGUGCGAGCGUUAAUCGGAAUUACUGGGCGUAAAGCGCUCGUAGGCGGUAUGUCAAGUCAAGGGUGAAAUCCCCGGGCUCAACGUGGGAACUGCCUUUGAAACUGGCAAACUGGAGUGUGUGAGAGGAUAGUGGAAUUCGAGGUGUAGGGGUGAAAGCCGUAGAUAUCUGGAGGAACAUCAGUGGCGAAGGCGACUAUCUGGCACAUAACUGACGCUGAGGAGCGAAAGCGUGGGUAGCAAACAGGAUUAGAUACCCCUGUAGUC
rnacentral:rRNA from 1 species